rnacentral:rRNA from 1 species
GAUGAACGCUGGCGGCGUGCUUAACACAUGCAAGUCGAACGAAGCACUUUAUUACGAUUUCUUCGGAAUGACGAUUUAGUGACUGAGUGGCGGACGGGUGAGUAACGCGUGGGUAACCUGCCUUAUACAGGGGAUAACAGUUAGAAAUGACUGCUAAUACCGCAUAAGCGCACAGGAUUGCAUGAUCUGGUGUGAAAAACUCCGGUGGUAUAAGAUGGACCCGCGUCUGAUUAGCUGGUUGGUGAGGUAACGGCCCACCAAGGCGACGAUCAGUAGCCGACCUGAGAGGGUGACCGGCCACAUUGGGACUGAGACACGGCCCAAACUCCUACGGGAGGCAGCAGUGGGAUAUUGCACAAUGGGGGANAGUCUGAACCAGCCAAGUAGCGUGAAGGAUGAAGGUCUUACGGAUUGUAAACUUCUUUUAUAAGGGAAUUAAACCCUCCCAACGUUGUGGG